rnacentral:rRNA from 1 species
UAUGGCGACCGGCGCACGGGUGAGUAACACGUAUCCAACCUGCCGAUGACUCGGGGAUAGCCUUUCGAAAGAAAGAUUAAUACCCGAUAGCAUAAUGAUUCCGCAUGGUUUCAUCAUUAAAGGAUCCGGUAAAGGAUGGGGAUGCGUUCCAUUAGGUUGUUGGUGAGGUAACGGCUCACCAAGCCUUCGAUGGAUAGGGGUUCUGAGAGGAAGGUCCCCCACAUUGGAACUGAGACACGGUCCAAACUCCUACGGGAGGCAGCAUG